UCGAUCCUAAGGCGCACAAAGGAGAGAAAACUUCUCAAGUCCCCUCCUUCGCAUGAGAAAGACCUUUCGGUUUCCUCCAAGCCGUGUAAAUCCCUUUCACUUCUCCAGUUGAUUUCUCUUGCUUUCGUAAACCUAAGCUUCUCACCGAAACCCUUCAAGAAGAUCAACCUUUUGAGAUUCCCGAAUUUCCCUGCCUUUUUUCCUUGUUGCCGUGUACUUAUGUGGCUUCGAAAGAGAUCCACGCAGGUAUGAACGAUGAUGCUGCGAAGCCGGGUGCUGCUGAGGAGGGAGGGGCUGAAGUUUGGAGUUCCCGGUUGGUUUGAUUUGGAGGACAGUGAUUAUGUUUUCUUUAUGUUUUUAUUUUGGGUCCCAUGUUGGGACAUUCUGUUGGUUUGAC